CGAAAGAGAGCCGUAACACAGGUGCUGCAUGGCUGUCGUCAGCUCGUGUCGUGAGAUGUUGGGUUAAGUCCCGCAACGAGCGCAACCCUUGUCAUUAGUUGCUACAUUCAGUUGGGCACUCUAAUGAGACUGCCGGUGACAAGCCGGAGGAAGGUGGGGAUGACGUCAAGUCCUCAUGGCCCUUAUAGGUGGGGCUACACACGUCAUACAAUGGCUGGUACAAAGGGUUGGCCAACCCGCGAGGGGGAAGCCAAUCCCAUAAAGCCAGUCGUAGUCCGGAUCGUAGUCUGCAACUCGACUACGUGAAGUCGGAAUCGCUAGUAAUCGUGGAUCAGAAUGUCACGGUGAAUACGUUCCCGGGUCUU
rnacentral:rRNA from 1 species